AGCCGUGUCCCGGGAACUGCCGCCUGCGGAUGAAAUAGGACCCUUCCACUCACGCUCCGUUCAAGAGCAUAAAAAAUAAUUACCGUGCUCACGGUAAAUACGAUGCAUUUGUCUUGAACGGUGUAAGUGAAAAGCGGUUCAUGUAGCUAAAUGUUUCAGAUUUGGAACCAGCUUUGCUGUUAAAAACCUUUGUGUCCAUCAAGGAAACUAAUUCGGUGAGUCAGGGUUAAGUGCAGCGACGGCUGCUGGGAAAAGCUGGCGUGCAAAGCCUCCCAGACCGAGCGUGAGACCGGCUGCAGGGAGACAAUGACAGAACUGGGCAGGAGUGACAGUGCAUAAAACAAACUGGCAAAUAUUUUAAAAGCUGAAAUUGAAUUUUUUUUAAAGUAAAUACCCUGCGGUAUAAACUGAAAAAACAGGUUUACCUUCACCCCUGGUUUGUGCCUCCAGCUGCAGAUCUGCGAUCAGGAGUGUGCUGCUUCCAUUUCCUCUCUUAUCUCCAUUUUCCUCUCUCUGUUGCGUUUCUGCCACCUGGAAGUUAGAGCGCUGGAUGACGGGAACUAGAUCAGGAUUUCAAAGACAUUUGGAGUGUAAUUCCCAGUGAUUUCAGAGCAAGUAAGGCACCUUUGGGACUGCAUUGUACCUGCUACCGAGGCGCUCAGAGCAUCCUUGGGGUCUGGUGUCCGGUGUGUUUGGCCAGGAACCUGCUUGCAGUUGGGUCCCACCACCUCCUGCACUUGCAGAGGAUCCUCAGGCUCCUGCAAACAGGAUUCCAGCUAUCUCUUCUGUGCUAUGUCAUCUUUGCAAGGGAAAAUGAGACAGCUGCAGGCCAAGGAGUCAUGGACUGCAGGAUUGCACCGCCUUUUCUGCACGCUCCCACACCGGGCACGGCAGUCUCGCAGCUCUGCCCCUGCUUGCGCUGGACGGGGCCAGCACCUCUCUGCUCGCCGCCUCUCGAACCCUGGGCUAGCGCCGGUCCGAUGGCUCGCGCCAACCUUCGCGUGCUGCCUGGAGAGACGCAGGGCUGGAGCAGAGCUGCUCGCAAGAAGUUCAGGCCUGUGGACCCUCGUAUUUGCUAAGGAUGCUGCUUUUUGGUUGAUUUCGUGCUGCACGCGUGGGAGCUGCAGGAGCCCUCUCCUCCGUGGGUGCUGUAGCAGUGAGCGACCGGACUCGGUUUCCCCUCGCUGUAGCCACGAGCAGCGCAUGCUUGCCAGCAUUUUCCACAUACACCAUAUUUUCAGCACAAAGCAGUGUUCUUAA
rnacentral:lncRNA from 1 species